UAUACAAUGUUGCAAUGUUUAAUGGGAGCCACACGACCUUCUGUGUGUGGUCUCCCAUUCGGUAGUUUGUUCGUUUUACGAACAGUGUUGAAAUUCACUAUUCGUGAAACUACUGUAUGAAUGGCCAGCAUACAAAUGUUCUUGUUCGCCUAACAUAAAAAAUUAAGUAUAUGCUUGGUUCUAACAUCCUUAAAGUUACAGCAACACAUUAAUGUAAAUACAGUCUUAAAGUGGCUAGUUUUGCCACAAUCACACACGCAGGCAGUCACACACACACACACACACACACACACACACACAGGCAGUCACAAACACGCAGACAGUCACACACACAGGCAGGCAGUCACACACACACACUGUCAAGAUAUUUAUAUUGGCAGACAUUUUGUGCUAAGAUAGAAAUUAAAAGUGUAUAUUUCCUGAGUCACUCAGAAUAGAGCGGACUACAUUUUGGAUCUUCAGGCCAACAAAGACACAUCAUUUCUUCUUACUUUCUGUAACUAGCCACUAGCCUGAGCUAAGGAAUGCAUUAUAUAAACAAGCCAAGUGAUAAGCAAUGAAGCAGGUGGAUGGAAUGUUCUGUUUAAAUGUUAAUAGAACAGAAAUAAUUUUAAACACAGACACUAGUGACAGAGAAGACUAAGUAAUUAAUUUUGCUUUCUAAAUUUUACAAGGUCCCAUUGUAAG